rnacentral:misc_RNA from 1 species
CUACUAUUUAUAUAUGCAAAUCAAACACCUUAAAAGAAAAUCUGACUCUGAUUUCACAAUGAAACAAACAUAAAUAAAAAAUUUAUCAUUCUAUUUCCAAUUCCGCUCAAUUCUAAUUUCAAUACUGAUUUUGAUUUUAAUAUACAAACCAAACAAGCCCUAAAAUUUAUUAUACAUAUUUAAGAAUUUUUUAUAAAUAUAUAGAGACUAAUACAAAAAAUUAAGAAAUCAAUUAAUUAAAAAAAUAAAUUUUAAUAUACCUAGUAAGAUUUUUUGAAAAUAACUGAGAGGCCAAAUCUACCCUAUUCUCUCUUAUCGUCUCUUUAUUGUCUCUUGCUUUAGAUAGCCCAAGUACUAGCUAUUAUAUCAAGAACAAGAAGAAUCAACCAAGAAAUACAUUGUCUACCUUUCGUUCACGUGAUCCUCCGACAUCACAAAAUCAUAUGAUAAUCCAAGCCUGCCCUAGUGGUAAAGGCCUUUUUUAAGCCUAAUAGUACUUGCAAUAUGUUAGUUUAAAACUUAUACAGGAACUAGGCACUAGUAGGCAGAGCCCCAAACCCAGAUCAUGAAAUACAUUCACAAAAGCACAUCUUUAAAAGAGAAAUUAUAACAAAUUUUUUUUUUUUAAUUCAAUGAUCGGCAAUUAAGCGAUUUAAAGUUUAUUCAGGCCUGUCAAAUAUGAUUAUAAGGAAUACCCAGGAGAAAUUAAGCAAAAAAAGGGCAGUGGACGCAAAUUA